AUGUGGUGUCCUCUACCAGUCCGAACAGGGGCAAUCGUACACACACGGGAUUUUGCGUACGCGUAUCUCCCGCACGGCAAGAAACCGGCCACGGGUGGCCGCGACGACGACCUAUCACACUCGCCAACGCCACUGGGCACCGCAUCGGCGGCGGCCUGUUCGAGCAGCGCCGCCCGCGUCGGUGGCGGCGAAGUUGGGCAGCCGCGCGCACACGCAGCCCCAUUCCAGAGCGGACUCCGCCUCCAGCCGCAGCUCCUCCGCCUCGUGGAUCUCCGACGUGGCCUGGGUUUCAGGGUUCGCGAGGAGGCCGUCCGGAGGCGGGUGCGGAGGGAGUACAGGGGAGUGUUGACAGGUUUGAGACGACGGCGGCGGUGGUGGCUAUGA
rnacentral:rRNA from 1 species